rnacentral:lncRNA from 1 species
GCUGCAUUUCUUUCCUCCAGAUACAGGGCGGUUCAUCUCUCACAUGAGGGUCUUACGAUCUACUUGCAGGAAAGGCCCAUUAAUCCCAAGACUACACAUGUGGCAUUUUUAAAGUAUGGAAUCCAGAACAGAACUCGAUACCACAGGUGAGAUCUGAUCCUAGCCUUCUCUUUUCUUGAAAGGCAUGUAAAUUCCAUUUGGGAAGAUAUUUUGAACUUGGAGAACUGAUGACAGAUUGACUUUAUUAAGCACCUUCUGAAAAGAGAACAUGUUCCACCUUGGAGGAUCAACAGACUUAUGGACAGCCUUGUAGAAGACAGAGACUUUACUCUAAAGAACUUUAAUGAAAGACGAUGCGAGGACACAGUGAGAAGAUAGCGUCCACAAACCAGAAAAAGAGAGCUCACCAGAAACCAACCCUGACAACAUCUUGAUCUUGGAGUUCCAGCCUCCAGAACUGUGAGAAAAAAAAUUUUUGUUGUUUAAGUCACCAGUCUGUGGUAUUCUGUUAUGGUUGCCCAAGCAGACUAAUACAGUAUACAAAAACUUGUAUUGUCACAAUUUACAUGUUUAUGCAUUGUAUGCCCACAA